CUCUGACAUACACAAGAUGUGAUCCACAGCAUCUUCCAUUUAAAUGACCCUUCAUUUGGGCAAUCAAAUUGAAUGUGUUAUUACAAUAGGAUCUUGCAAUUGCACAUAGAACUGAGGGAGAAGAAGCAGAAACAUGAAGAUACCUGGAAGGUAGACAACAGUUUAAAGACCUCAGUGCAGGAAGCAGAUUAAAAGCCUGGCACGCAUCUGCAAUAAAUAAAGGAUACAAGUGAACUUGGGAGUUUUCAGCAUAAGUAUUCUGCAAUUCCUUGGCUCC